CCCAACCAGAAUCUCCAUCAUACACCAAAUAAAGCUCAAUUGGGCCUAUGAAAUGACCUAUGCUCACCAAUUCGGGGUAAAGAACCACAUGAGACUAGCACACAAUAUGUGGAAUGAUUUUUUAGAACACCUAUAAAGGACACAUGAACCACUGGGAAGACUUGAUGUACGAAUGCAAGUCUCUCCUACCAAGUUAUACCUCCCCCC